GCCAAUGUAGCUCAGUCGGUAGAGCACAUCCAUGGUAAGGAUGAGGUCACCAGUUCGAUCCUGGUCAUUGGCUCCA
rnacentral:tRNA from 2 species